UAAUGUCUGGGAAACUGCCUGAUGAGGGGGAGUAACUACUGGAAACGGUAGCUAAUACCGCAUAAUGUCGCAAGACCAAAUGGGGGACCUUCGGGCCUCAUGCCAUCAGAUGUGCCCAGAUGGGAUUAGCUAGUAGGUGGGGUAACGGCUCACCUAGGCGACGAUCCCUAGCUGGUCUGAGAGGAUGACCAGCCACACUGGAACUGAGACACGGUCCAG
rnacentral:rRNA from 1 species